rnacentral:misc_RNA from 1 species
UGUGCCCCUUGAAGUAAUCUGACUUUGUUCCAAGGAAGAUAUUUAGCUGAUCGCAUAUAAUUGAGACACCCUGUGCAGAAUGAAAAAAGGAAAAAAUAUAAAGUCGACUGUAAUCUUAAUAACAUGGCCGCACCGAUCCCGCCUCAACAAGUAAUUAUCAACUUCUCAAAAGAAAUUGAGUUCGCGGAACCGACGAGUUUGUAUAACGAAGAUCCGCUCGCUGCGCGUAGUUUGGGGAAUAAAGGCUCAGUUAUGGGUUCAUGGAAUUGACGCCAAACAGAGGCUGGCUCGUUUAAACGAGAGUGGAACCCAAGAAUAGAGGAAGAGGAAUUAUGAGCAUUAUGCAACAGGUAUAGAGAAAAGAGCAUGGAGCGCAUACGUAUGGUUAGAGUGCUCUUUGUAUGAACAAAUAAGAGCAGUGCAUUUGAGGGGAAAUGAAACAAUAGAAUAAACAUUGACAACAGUGUCUCAACAAACUGAAGACGAUGGAAGAAGACUAUUUUACUACAUAUAAAAAACGAUGAAGACAAGAGCAUUCUGCAGAAAUGAAUGAAAGAAAGAAACACAUAGAGGAUUAUAACAAACACACAUUUGCUUAAAUACACAUUAUAUUAGCAAUUGUAAAUCUAAGCCACAGACCAUAAGGGCUAAUAAAAAUGGGUACUAUAUUAUAAUGUUUUUAAUAAAUGCAAAAGGUGGGUAUAAUAAUCUAGUAAAUAGGCGUUCUAGUUAUUUAUAAUGUUCC